GUUUUUUAUGAAUGUGCAGACUCUUUUGAUCUGCUUUUUAAUUUACUUUACUUUACUUUAAUUUAAUUUAAUUUUAUUUUAGAGAGACAGAGCAUGAGCAAGGGAGGGGCAGAGAGAGAGAGAGAGAGAAACAGAAUCCGAAGCAGCCUCCAGGCUCUGAGCCAUCAGCACAGAACCCCACAAGGGGCUCCAACUCACAGGCAGAGAGAUCAUGACCUGAGCCAAAGUCAGACGCUUAACCGACUGAGCCACCCAGGCGCCCCUCUUUUGAUCUGCUUUUGAACAACUAAGAUGGACCGGACCAUUGCUCUCACAUUCUAGCGCACGGAAGACAGACGGUGUACAAACAAGAACAUAUCAAAUGGUGCAGUUGGCUGAAGGCGGCCCCCCAAAAGCUAUGUCUACCUCCUAACCCCCGGAACCUGUGAAGGUGAUCUUCCUUGGGAAAAUGGGUCUUUGCAGAUGUAAGUAAGGAUCUUGAGAGAAGAUCAUCCUGGAUUAUCAAGGUGGUCACUAAAUCCAACGACAAGUGACUUUCCAAGUCACACAGAAGAGACACAGAGAGGAAGAAAAGACCAUAAAAUGGGAGGCAGAGACUGGAGUGAUACAGCCACAACCAAGGAACAUGUGGGGCCACUAGACUCUGGAAGCAGCAAGGAAGGAUUCUGUCCUAUAUCCCCUCGAGGGAGCAUGGCCCUGCUGACACCUUCAUUUCAGACUCCGGCCUCUAGAACUGUGAGAAACUAAGUUUCUGUUGUUGUAAGCCUCCUUCUUUGUGGGCAUUUGUACAUCAACCCUAGGAAACAAUGGCAUAAAUGGUAACACGUACCGAGAAGAAAAUAAGAUGGGCAAAUGAGACAAAAUAUAAACAGGGACUCAGAUAUGACCACCAUAAAUGAUGGAGUCUGGAAGGCCCCAUUUAGGAUGUACCAGCUGAAUUCCCUGAGGACAUGGGAGAGGGGUGUUCUGAAUCUGAGGGCGAGGGGGCAAAUAUAAAGGGCCUAACCUGGGAAUUAAUUUGGUGUGUGCAAAGACCAGGAAGUGAGUGGUGCUGAUUAUGGGAGGUGCAGGGGAGAGUGGUAGGGAGAUGCUGAGACAGGAAGGAACCGGACCCUGUAGAGCCUUGUAACCUCAGAGAGACCUAACACUUAUAAUGACUUGCAGAUGCCCUUACGAGCAGAGAAUGACGUACGGACUGAUUAAAUAAUGAGUAUAUGCCAAACAUUGUAGCAAUCGGAUUAAAACCCAGAACCUUUAUAAUCUUCCUCAUGUAAUCCCAUCCCACUGUUAAUUCAAUAUGAAUAAGAAUGUCACAAAUAGAACAUGUGAGGUCAAACACCACAGACACAGUAGAAAAUCCUCAGUGGGAUCCUUUAUUUUGUUCACUUGCUACUUACAAGGUGAAAUGUCAACCUGUAAAAGUUGUUUCUACCAGUUCAGCCAAUGGCCUGGAACAUCAUCGUGUCCUCAUUCCACGGUGUAUAGUCCUGGGGGGCAGAUCCAAGGGUCACAGCUUCACGGGGACCAGACGGCGCGGGUUCCAGAGCUCGAGCUCCGCACGCUGCGCGUCCCCAGGACCCCACAGCCUCAUUCCUACUGGUGAUCAGCGAGGAAAUGGAUGGUAUUUCUAUUCACUUUUUCAAAGAUCAGACCUACCUCAUUUACAUGUCAAGAAAAUGUUCUCAAGUAAAAUAAAGUGUUUAUCAUUUUCCUAUAGCUCUUUGAAUGCCUGGCAUUCAUGUUUUCCCUACCUCUAAAAUUCCUUUCUUUUUCACAUUAUCUUUCUUGAUUGCUUCUUAAUGUAAAAACAAAAAGCACAAAGAUAGGGAUUUGUUGUGCACAUUAGCAGGUCCGUGCAGAAAAAUGCACGGAGGUUUUAUAUACCAUUUACAGUGACAGCUCAGAGUACAAAGUCAAGAAGAAAGAAUCUGGAAUAUUAGACGUGCUCUGAAAUAAGCCUACACAGGAGGACACCACUGUAGUUUCAUCAGAACUUUCUCUCAUCAGCCGUUCAACAGUGGCAAAUGCAAAAAACGUGCGGUUAAAAUAACA